UACGGAGGAUCCAAGCGUUAUCCGGAAUCAUUGGGUUUAAAGGGUCCGUAGGCGGUCUAGUAAGUCAGUGGUGAAAGCCCAUCGCUCAACGGUGGAACGGCCAUUGAUACUGCUGGACUUGAAUUAUUGGGAAGCAACUAGAAUAUGUAGUGUAGCGGUGAAAUGCUUAGAGAUUACAUGGAAUACCAAUUGCGAAGGCAGGUUGCUACCAAUUGAUUGACGCUGAUGGACGAAAGCGUGGGGAGCAAACAGG
rnacentral:rRNA from 1 species